CGGAAUUCCCAUUUAGUAAUAAUAAUGAUUGUACAGCGGCGCCCUCUCGAUGAUGGAGACACCCCGGGUCAAUUGAUAUUCAGUAUAUUGAGGGUUCACACCUCACUGGACUUCUGGAGCCAGAGGUUUCGGUCCACUAUCCAUCUCUAUGUAUGUAGGCAACCUGAUCUCGGUCCGAGAUGUGUUCAGUGACGUCACGGUGCGUUUCCUCUCGCGGCGCCUUCACCUUGACAUUUGUAUUGGUUUGUCGAACGUGUCGCCACUCGCCAGCGUAGCGAGCAGUGAGCCACACAGGAGGGGCGCGGAGAACACGAUCCAUGUAGCUAUACCUGUUCAGUGUUCUGGUAUUACUUAUAUUCACCGACGUUUGUUAUGGUAUAUAGAACAGGAAGACUACCAUUCCACAGUAUAUCAUCUUGUAUUAAAUUUCGCAUGAACCAGAUCCGAAGUUCUAGGACGAAAGAUGCAACAAAGAACUGCGAGUGUACUAUUCAAAACGUGUGGUUAAAGUGAAAACAAUACCAGCAGCUGACCGACGAGGAAGAUGACUCACGGUUAUAUAACGACAUUACGGAGGAGUCUUGUGUAACGACGGGCUGAUAUAACGGCUGAGGUGACGGAACGGAACACAGCUUAACGGCACUAAGGAACUUAUAAAUAUGCCGAAUAUGGAGGACGCGGGUACACAGCCACUGAUGAUAGAUAGGGUGGAGAUGUAGGGCAGUGCAGCACCAGCAUUAAAGAUCUUCUAUAUAAGUCAUGUCUGAACCAAGAGUGCAUCAUAUUUCCAGCACAGUGAUUCAGAGUCCAAGGUCUAACAUAUCAAAUCUCUUUCGUUAUCAUAAAAUAAAAGGACUUUUAGAGCACAGCACACGUCUUAACGACGCGUCACCCCGUUUCCUUUAAACAGCAGCGUGGAGACGAAGUGAAUAAUAAAAAAAAGAAAGUGCCUUUACCGUACGACGGCACACUUACAAACAAACAUACAUACAUACAAACACACAAACAGACCGAACAAGACAAAACUCAUUAUAUGUAUUGUCUGUCGCCUCGCUGGACGGGCGAUGGGAUGUUAUCAACAGUUGUAUGUGAUAUUGAUUGGAUAAAUAUUAUGUUGAAUUGAUAAGCUGCGAGCUGAUAACGGCAACGUCUUCUCAUGCAGCUCGGUGACUUGAGUUCUGUACAUACACACCUUGUGGACAGUGGUACAUGUAUAGAACAGUAAGAAAUGAACUUCAUAUAACUCAGGAAUGAUCUCCUUAUACUGACAGGGUGUGUGUGUGUAUCUGUCUUCAGUCAUCACAGACAAUGGCUCGCUUGUCAGCGAAUGUGGCGUCUGGCGAGUGGCAGGGUCACAGCGUUGCGUGACACUGCCACACAGAUGACUACCCCUCCACCGUCCGCGACAGGGCUGACGGAGUGACGUCAUAUUGUAUACACUAAUAUAAUUGUUCGGCCGAAUGAGACGGGUUCCUAUAGUGUGAUACAAAGAAAAUUCCACAGCAUGGUAUAUAUAUAAUAAAUUGACAUAUACCAUCGCGUGUGUGUGUGUGUGUGCAAGGAGAGCGAGGGUACAUCGACCCCGUAGUGACGCAAGAUCGACAACUUUCUAAUCGGGCAGCGGCAUGCAGCGGCUCCGUACGGGCUACGUCACAGACAGCACAGUUCGGGGACAAGCGAGCAGCAUACAUAGGAUCUCUCGACAGACACCAAGACUGGCGGACUGGUACUCACUGGUGCUAACAUACAACAACGCACUGUAUAGUGGCCUGUCCAUACUUUGAUGACGAGUGUCUCGAUGAGUAUACUUACGUCUUCUCAUCACGAUAAAGUUUCACAAACUUCAAUAGGUCAUCCUAUUUUUAUAUUUAAAAAGUAAUUUCAAUAUAAUUUUCUGGUAACAACGUCCGUUUCAUCUUACAUCUAGCACUCAUCACGGAAAGGACAUUAACAGAUAAGUUACGGAAAUGAUCUCAUAAAGUCAAGCAAAACUCUAUUCUGACAUCGUAUUUAUAUUUAUAAAUAUAAACAGUCAGAGUUACUAUUUGUAUUUUUUGUGUCUGUUUCAGUCCUAAGAGCAGAGCGGCCUUCAGUGGAACCUUUCUCUUUAAGCACAUUGACUUCAAGUACGCCCGAAUAUUUGUUCAGCACCGACAGACGAAUACCUUCCGAGAGCGAGUAUGUCUCCGAUACUAAAUACGCUGUGAAGUAACCGCAGCUGUCAUAAGAACCGUUUUAUUAUUCAACGUGAUUCUCAAUACAGAUCCUGAUAUUUUAUUUAGAUUAUCUGCAAAUAACAUACAUACGAGUUAACGGAAUAAUAUGUCAGAAAUUUUGCUACAAAAAUCAAUGAUAGAUCGCUAAUCAGUAAGAGUUGUAGUCUUUGUCUUGUAAUGUUUCGCGUCAUAUAAAUAUCACAGAAAGGCAUACGUUAAGGCAUGUAGAGCCGAGUGACAGGUCUGGGUUCGACGCCCGGCCUUAGCCCAGUGGAGUGACGUGAAGGGGCUCCGCAAUACGCAGCGGCCGCUCACACAGAAGACACGCUCGGUGGACACAACACACAACACAUUAAAACACUUUUUGUUACUUUAUGUGUGUCAAACGAUCUUAUUCGCGCGUUAUAUAACACACUCGUGUGUUCGUCGUUUACUUUCAUCAAAUGUUUCGGAGCAUGUUCGCAGAAAAUUUAUCGAAAAGGAAAUCAUUCUGUUUUUGAGGGCACGAGUCCGCUCGCUAAUAUUUCAAUAAUUAAAAUACUGACGUUAAACAGGGUACUGGUCGUUCUUUGAAUUCAUUUUUGUUUUAAAUUCCAAUUAUAUUCGUUUAAUGUUCAUGUUUCCGAGAACAACGAAUGUGACAUCAUAUUAAACUGUCUAAUCAGAGUUUAAAUCGUCUAUAUGUACUGAGUUAUCCCCAGAGCCGUUCAGGACGUAGCGGCUGUUUAAUUUAUGUAUUACAACAAACAAUCAUUUUCCUCAACGUUUAACGAUUCGUUCAACGGCACGUUUUCUAUAUCUCGAUUCAAAUCACGUAUUUACUGUCACAGAAACAUUGUCACCAUUAUUUCUGACAAUGCUUCUAUCAGCCGGAGGCCAGGAAUACUUUGAGCGUGACUCUGCGUUGACUCCGACCUUCGACACAUGCAAAUUGGAAGAUAAACAAAUGCAACAGUUUCUUAAUAUGAACCAACAGCCAACACAGCUAUAUUUCCCAAUCGUUAAUUACCGAGAGUGACCGCAUGUUUGUUUCUGUCACACAAUGUUCAUCCAACAUUAAGUUCUACUGAAGUGUCGACGGUAUGGACAGUCGUUAUGAGAGUUUGUUUAAUUAUUAAAACUAACAUAUUAUUAGUGUGUGUGAUCCACGAGGAAGAUAUAUCUUGUGAGUAUUUACAUCACAUUGUUAAUUAGUCAACACAGAACAUUAGUGAUGUGACGACUACGUUACAUGACGUACCUAUAUGACUGUAUUAUAAACAUGUGUAUAAUAUAGCCAGGAGCCAGGAGCCAGGAGCCAGGAACUCGCCGACUACAAUAUUAACGAAACAAUAAUGGGCACGAACUUUUGAGUCUCGGCCUCUCAACGUGUUUAUCGUCGUGCCCGUUUAAACUGUUGUUUUACGUAUCGAUGUAAUCACUUUGAAAGUUCUAACAAAAUAUACCUUAACGACGCUUUACAAUUAUUUUUGUAACAUUCUCUUACAUCAAUACUAGUGAGUAGUAUUGAACGUUCUCUAAGUCCAGGUGAAGACUUGUUGUUUAAUGUUUUAUUAACAAACAUCAUGCAUAUGAAAUAUAUCCAAAGAUCAUUCUGUGAUACUCCUAACAUAUACUACAGCGUGGCCAGGACGUGUGACGUGUGACGUGUGACCUCAUCGGUAUAUGGCAACAGUUGAAGGUCUUCGCUCCAUAAACAGAGAACUUGUCUUUAUUUAAAUCAAACAGCAGUUUUAUUUGUAUGUAGAUUUAGGUGAUAUAUUCGUAUGGAGUAUUUUGUAUAAUAGAAGUGAGCGGUGAGUCAGUCAGUCAGUCAGUCAGUGAGUGAGCGAGUCUGACCUUGACAAAGACAAAGAAACACACACCGCGCUAUAGGAGCGUGAACACAUGGAACCACACAGCGAGGGACGAGCGUAUACGAUGAUAUGAGGCGAGUGCAGUGAAACACUAUACGUCCAGGACACCGGCGAACAGACCAGCGUGUGUGAUUCAAUAGUACAGCUUUCAGGGAAUGACGGGGGCUGAACGACUGACUGAGAAAAUUAAACAAAAAUAUCGAAAACGACAGAUGACAAUGAUUAGUUUACGAGAAACUAGAGAUUAUAGCACAAGUACAUAGAUGUAUUUUGUAACUUUUGACUUUUAAAAUGAUACACGUUGUAUGCGGAUAAAAUAAAUGCUUUCUUUAUUAAUGAAUAUACUAAAGACAGCAAACUCUAUAAGACUAAAAUUAUAUUAACUCACAUUUAAUGAGUGUUUUAUGGCGCGAGGUACUGAGUUAAAAAAGACAUCAAAUUGAUAGUGCCGAUAGCGAAAUCCCAUAGUAUAGCAGCAGCGACAAAAGCACACCUUAACAGUCAGCGCGUACCGUGUGGAGCAUUCAAAUCAGUUAGCGAGCACCGCGACUAACGAGCAUUAAUAACAGAUCAGUAUUCAGCCGGCGCUUCAUCAAUAGUACCACAACCUUGGCGUAGAGGAUGAUAACAUGUGGCCUUGGAGGAAAACGCUCCUCACAUACACCACACACAGAUUACUUUAAAUAAACAUUACUAUUAUAUGACCACGCGGGGCUUACACAACUUAAUAACUUUGUAUUAAAACUCAUAAUGUCUUCUUAAAUAAGACCCGAGUGCGUCGGAACAGAACCCAGAACGUUCACACUCAGUAGUUUUGUCAUCUUUUCUAUAUUAGCCUAUGAGUAACUUCAAACAGCGGCUCCUCACGCAACCCAUGUUUGACAAGUUUACAAAAUAAACACGGACAUGCGGUACCCAUACUUACUAUGUUUAGAGAGACUGUGUGUUUUGGUCAUCGGAAAUACGAGGAAUGUAGGUAUUACUCGGAAAAUAUACAUUGAUCUUUUUUGAUAUUAAAAUGUAUUUACGAGCUCUUUCAAUUAUAACGUCCUCGUUAUGGAAUUUAAUCGAAACGUCAAUUAGCGACGCCAUCUACACAUAAACGCUCGGCGUGGUGAAUUUGAGACACGUUUAAUAUAUGGGUAUAAUAAACACAGAGAAUAUAAACAACUGUGUGGUGAUCGGUGGACGGUGAUCGGUGACGCAGACGACAUGCAACCUGCGAUACUGUUACAUCAUAUAUAUUAACAUUUAACAAUAUCUAAUUAUUUCAGACAUCCCAUUGAAAUGUAUUUAAUGUAAAUAAUUAUAUGAAAUUGGUAGCUUCGAUUGAAUUCAUCACAGGCGAAGUCGGGGCCAGAGUGUUGUACAUACAUACAUACAAUAUGACUUAUAUUCAACCGCAACUUUUAAUGAACCCACGCAAGCGAUCUUUAAUUAUUGUACAUACAUAAUAAUGAGCAGUUUUAUAAGACUUCCAAGAAUCCGCUCAUAUUUAUUGAAUAUAAGAGUAAGUGAUGAUGACGACACCGACUCCAGGCACAAGGCUCUCGGCCACCAGGAAUGUCCAAAUAUCUGUCAUGGAAACUGUCUCCUUGUACGGUUUCUUUCAUAUGAUCCGUUAAACCGAUCAUGGAACAUACGUUCUGCCUUAUCACAUGAUGCGCAGUUAACAUACUCAGUUAGUUAACAAUAUAUUUAGAGCAUUCCACGGGAAUUUCAUUUCAAAGCAAUUAAAAUACACUUUGUUUGGAUUGUUGACACUUUCAGAUAGAAACUAAAAUAAAUAAUAAUAGUUUUACAAUUCUGACAUAAUGUAAGGUCCGAAUGAACAUAGGAGUCCGUCAAAUGUUACUAAAGACACAGCAGGUCUGAAGAGGUGGCAGCCAGGGAGGGCAGGUUAUAAAUAUGUUUGUGUGAUGCCUAACAGUGGUGUUGCAAGCCGUCCGUCACGCAUCUGAAGCCGAUCGUAACUUCUCCAUCGAGGUUGUCGAAUGUCAAUGCCAAGGUCGCCGGUGGCCGCUGAUAAGCUUCAUGGAGCAUGUUUAAUGGCAUUCCUAUGUUAUCGAAGAUUGCAUCACUCGUACAGACUACAGAGCGAGCCACGUGCUCACACGACACACAGACGACGAUCACGCUCUCACUGCACCAUACCAUACUUGGAAAUUUAAUACAAAUAUUGACAAAUUAAAAAGACAGAGAAUACAGCUUGCCAUUUAGAAUACGGGUCGAUUCUGAGGAUGGAGGAAGAAGGAGGAGUAGGCGAGAUUAGAAUCGUGACCGGAGUGUGAACUGAGGAGGGUAGUAGCGGAGCGGUGGGCUGGACGGACGUGGUCAGUAGGAGAUUACGUAUUGAUGUGAAAUUAAUUUGGAACAUAUUUUAAAAACACGAAACCUGAGUGAAGUCUGCGGGCGACAUUGAAGUUUUUAAUGUGAAUAAAAAAACAAUUGUCCCGCUAUGUGUCCUCGGACUUGGAAACACUGCCAGCUACGAGGAAAACAUCUUUGAUAUUAAAACGUUACAUUAUAGCUGAAUAUAUUAACAUAAUUCAUCAGUACGUUGAGGAAACAGAGACGAGGUUACUAAAAUGAUCAUUCUUGGAACAGGAGUGCGGUGAACCACCAAGCUGACGACUGUUGAUAAGCUGAGAACCUUUCGAAGAAGCCAUCACUUAUAUCGCUUGGUCUCGUCCUUAUCUCACAUCUGCACCGCGUCCGACACUCGGAGCUGGUAUCAGUAUGCGCACACGCACUCCACCACCGAUUACAAUUAUUUACGCUAAAAGAA